rnacentral:rRNA from 1 species
CAUGCCCGUAGGAUUAUUGAGCGGAGCCGUCCCUAGUACGAGAGGACCAGGACGGACGAACCUCCAGUGUACCUGUUAUUGCGCCAGCAGUAUACGCAGGGUAGCUGUGUUCGGAGCGGAUAAGUGCUGAAAGCAUAUAAGUACGAAGCCCACCGCAAGAUGAGUAAUCCCAUAGAGUUAAUCUAGUAAGGACCCAGGAAGACCACCUGGUUGAUAGGUUGCAGGUAGAAGUGCCCCGCAAGGUCAGCAUGUAGCCGAGCAAUACUAAUAGUCCGAGGGCUUUUCCAA